GGACGGAAGUCACGGUGCGCCUCCGUGUCUCGUCGCAGCCCACCACCUGCCCUCUGCCCGCUGUCCGCCUCCCGCCCCAGAUCUCCACCUCCCCCCACCUCCGUCCGCUCCGACUGGAGCAGUGGCCUGUGGAGCAGAGAGAGUGUGGGCGGGGCACGAAAUGGCGGCGCUUUCUGGCUGCGCCCUGCUGCUCGCGGCGGCGCUGCUCCUCUCCGCGCCGGCCGCCACAGGUGCGGCUCCCCUCCUCCGUCCUCUGAUUCGGUUCUGCUCGCGCGCGUGCGGAUGGGUGGGUGGAUGCCUGCUGCCCCCGUCUCGUCGGUCCUGUCGGUGUCUGUCCCGCUGGGUUACCAAUUCAGCUCGUUUCUUGCACGCUGCUGCUGUCUUGAGCUUCAAGCUUGCUUCCACACUAUCUUGAGCUUCAAGCUUCAAGCUGACUCUUAAGUGGAUUGGUUAGUUAGUAAAAACAUCCUUGCGCCGAGCUCUGAUCUGUUCACAGCUGAAGCGAAAUACACUAGUAGUUAGUUAGUAAAAACAUCUCAGUCAAGUGUGUCUGCUGUGCUGCUAGAUUAAAACAACUUGAGCCGCACUGUAGAAUAGAUAGACCCUGCUACUACUGUCUUGAGCUUCAAGCUGAUUCUUAAGCGAAUUAGUUGGUUGAAACAUCCUCGCGCCGAUGUGUUCGCAACUGAAGUGAAUUACAGACAGUUACUUAGUUAGUUAGCUAGAACGUCUCAGUCAACUGCGUUUGUUGUGCUGGUAAAAAGAACCUGAUUUGCAGGAUACAUUCCUGCAGAUUGGAACAAGCAUGUGUUCGUUGUGCAUCUGACGUGCCAAUUAACCCUCUUACUUCCUUCUUGUUCUCGCAGAGGCGUACGAUUCGCUAGAUCCGAACGGGAACAUCACCAUAAAAUGGGAUCUUAAAGAGUGGACUCCUGAUGGUUAUGUUGUGAGUAGCACUUCAACAUCUGUCUGUCUCUCAUCCCAAACUAUGAAUUAGGCCAGCAUUGAUUUUUACCGAGGUUUUGAUGACCUCAACAAGUAAGUAGCAUGGCCAGUGACCGGCUACAUACAAACAAACUCUGCUACAAGCAAUAUAUAUAGUGGACUACUCGACUCAAAAGUGAUUGUGCAUUCAUAUCUGCUCACCCUGUACCUGUGUGUGUCAUGAUUUUCUUCUUCUUCCAAACUUGUCAUGCACAGGCAAUGGUCACAAUAUACAACUACCAGCAGUUCCGGCACAUAUCUGCGCCCG
rnacentral:lncRNA from 1 species